UUUGUGAAGGAUUUCCUUUGUUAAAAUGAUUGGAGCGCAUUUAAGGCUAUUCAAUAACGAACUUACCCACUUGUGUUCUGCUAUUCUUCUCAGGUUGAGGAAAAACGUGGGUUCCAUCAGGGAAGGAGAUGGGAACCUUAGCCUUGAUCACAGGGCUUCUCCGUCUGAGGGCGUGAGCUUGUGAAUGUCAUCUACUUUGGAGGACACACUUCAUGAACUGUGCUGACUACAGUUACAAUAUUGUUAUUCUUGAAUCCCAGCCACCUGGAUGUCCCAUCUGGCUGGUAGAAAUGACAUA